rnacentral:lncRNA from 1 species
CGGAAAUGCGGAGGCCACCAAGAAGUUCAUCGACGGGGGGAUAAGAGGAAGCAGAAUUGCUUACGUUAUCAUUAGGCACAGAGGUGAGACAGUCUUGCCUACGGUAUUCUGGAAAGGCUUGAGAUUUAGAGGGGGGAGGAGGAGUAGGGUCUUGGGGUUUAGUUUCAGGAGGGGCGUAUUGGGCAGCAGGCUCUUGAUAGGGAUAGUGAGGAGGAGGAGGAGCAUAGGUGCCCUGGGGAUGAGGAGGAUAAGGAGAAGGUCGGUAAUCGAAAGAAUGGCGGUGAUACUCAGGAGAUGAGGAUGGC